rnacentral:lncRNA from 1 species
GUCAUUCCAACACCACGCUCUUUUCUAAGACAUUUCACACUUAAGCUGUGGUCCUAUUUCCCCAACAGCUGGACUUUCUGUGCCAUAAAUCAAUGCUUUGUCUUUUUCUUAUUACGUUUGCCCAAAGGGGUAUCUGUAGCCCUUUUUAAUAUUUCCAGCAAUAUCUUUACACCACAGAGCAGAGAAUAAGAAAAAACAAAACAAAACAGUGAGUCAUGCAGGUUUGGAUCUCAUCGCUACCAUAGACUGUUGGAGUUUCAAGGGUGGAGAUCCGCCAUUGCUUUUUCCAUAUCCGCAGAAAUUCCUUUCACAUGAAAUGUGAGUCUGUUGGGUUCCCCCCCGAGACCAGCGGUGGAAGAAGAAGCUGGAGGUGGCUGAUGAGACACUUCAUGCUGGACCAAGAAACGGGGACUCGGGGUUGAGUCCACAUGUGCCAUUUGUGGGGACGCCGUGCAUUCCCCAGUUUGCCGCUCUCUGUUUCAAAUUCUUUCACUCGAUGCUGUUGUGGGCAUGAAGUCAAAGCAGGCAUGUGUGAGACAGUGCUUUGUAAAACAUAAGGCACGGAACAAGUUUAGAACAGGAAGAGUUGAAGCUGGAUUGACGCAAUUACCAAAAAUAAAAUUAGCUGAGGGUGUC